CAGAAACACCCAAAUAUAGGAGAAGGACUUUGAUCAAAUCCUGUUACUUCUGUUUCAGUUUGUACAAAUAAAAGGGAAACAGAUCUUUGCCAACUGGUGAUGCUCUCCAGGAAAGAGGCAUUUGAACUAAGGAAUACCCAGAGCAUCUAUUGUGCGGCAAGAGAUUGUAAAUUCCAGCUACGGAAAACAAUGCAGCAAGGAAAGACUCAAACCUCUCAAGUUCCCACCUGGAGGUCCUUUCAAGUACAAUUACCCUCUGAACAAUUGGGCGCCAAGCUGGACAAGGAUAUCUGGCUAGAAGAAUUUUUGUGGAAGUGAGGGGAAAAAUUCCUGUUAUCUUUGUUAGCCAUGUUAACUCCAAAGCCAUUCAAUGUGACUAUUGACACUUAUCCUGGGUGUUAACAUUCAAGGCUUUCUGUUUUAUAAAGCCACCCUUGCCACAGGGUUAAGAACAAACCACGCUCUUGCUUUCGCGAUAUUCAUUUUGGCAGUCCAGGGCA